UACGGAGGAUGCGAGCGUUAUCCGGAUUUAUUGGGUUUAAAGGGUGCGUAGGCGGGCUUUUAAGUCAGCGGUAAAAAUUCGGGGCUCAACCCCGUCCGGCCGUUGAAACAGGGGGCCUUGAGUGGGCGAGAAGAAGGCGGAAUGCGUGGUGUAGCGGUGAAAUGCAUAGAUAUCACGCAGAACCCCGAUUGCGAAGGCAGCCUUCCGGCGCCCUACUGACGCUGAGGCACGAAAGUGCGGGGAUCGAACAGG
rnacentral:rRNA from 1 species